GGAGACGAGCGCUUAUUCUGUUUGUUAACCAGACACGCACACAUAAAGAGACGCUGAACCACCACCCAACAGGAGGGGAAGCAGAAGGCAGAUUGUUCUGUAAGACUUGAUUCUUUUUUAACUUAGAAGAAGCUUGCGCAUCAAGAGGAAACGGGAAUUCAAAAUAAAGAAGGAGUUUGUUGACGCACGCGGACUUUACGCCCUGAUGGAGGCGCCUCCAGCUCGAAGAAUGACCAGAAACCACCUUGAUCCAAACAGGCAGACCGCAAAAUGACCACCAUGAAUCAACCCAGUCUAACACUCUGUGUGAGGAUCCCGAGUGGAUCAAAGCCCGUGCCACCCCAGGCAGUGUCCUGCUGAGGGAGCCAGCUGUCAGAUCUCGGAUCAGAGAUCAGCGGCGUCCCCCCCCCCUCCGCCGCUGCCUCUUCGCUCUCUGUGGGGUCCGUCACAGCAAGUUAGCACUCGGCCAAAGGCACUGAUCAACAAUCAGAUUAAGGCCCCCCCCCGAAUAAUAGCUGUGAGGAUCGGGAGAGAGCUCCAAAGUAAGAGUGCUGUCGUUUCUCAGUUCCACUACUAAACUGACUACUACUGAUAACAUCGAUACUAGUAGCUAGGAUAGUACAACUUAUAAGACUGCUGCAAUGAUGUUCUCAAUUAACAUUAUACAGGAAGUAC
ensembl:lncRNA